GGGGCAUUUCCUUCAGCGACACCAUGCCAGAGAGAGCGCGAACUUCCUACAGGUUGCAAAUGAGUCCGCGUGAUGGGGACGUGAGUUAAUUAGUGCACUUGGGUUUGAGAGGUUGGUAACAAGCUGCCACUCUGCAUUUGGUGGUUCCUUUUCUGAACAGGUGGCAACUGACUGACAGGCUUUCUCUGAAGUGGAGAAGGACAUCUGUGUUUUCCAUACUGCGGAACACUGGAUCUUUCCAAGUCACACAUUUGGGAAGACAGCUGAAUUGCCUUCAAGUUCCUCCUGUUACGGUACAAAUACCCACCUGAUGUGCAAACAUGAGAGACGCAGCUUUACACUAGAACCAAUGAAAGCAAAUUUGAGAAAACCCAACUCUUUAGGAAUGGAGACUACAGAUGUAUGAGGGGAUCUUAAUAAUUAAAAGAAGAAAAUACGUAAACAGGAAAAAUAUCCAACUGUCACAAAACUCUGCACUAAAUCAAACUGCAAAGUUUUGUCUUUUUAAAAAUAUAGUGAUGUGCCACAUGACAACGUUUCAAUCAAGGAGGGGCUGCAUACAUGACAAUGGUCCUGUAAGAUUACAAUGGCGCUGAAAAUUUCCUAUGGCCCAGUGACAUCAUAGCUAUCAUAACAUCACAGUGCAAGGCACUACUCAUGUGUCUGUGAUGUUGCUGGUACCAACAAAUCUACUGCGCUGCCAGUCAUAUAAAAGUAUAGUACAUACAAUUAUAUACAGUACUUAAUACUUGAUAAUGGUAAUAGUGACUAUGUUACUGAUUUACAUAUUUACUAUAACUUGUGUCAUUAUUUUAGAGUGUGCUCCCUCUACUUACGAAAUAAAAAAUUUAACUGUAAAACAGCCCCAGGCAGGUCCUUUAGGAGAAUUCCAGAAGAAGGCAUUGUUAUCAUAGGAGAUGACAGCUCCAUGCGUGUUAUUGGCCCUGAAGACCUUCCAGUGGGACAAGAUGCGCAGCUAUAGAAUAAACAGUGGCUGGAGGAUGAUACACCAAAGAAGGAAAGAAACAAGUGAAUUCAAAUCAAAGAAUUCACAUCAGCUUUUUUGAAAGCGGAAAACCAAAAAUGUCAAUUGCAAGCCUCAACCCCCUUCUUCUUCCCCAAACUGUUUUUCUUUUUGGUUUAUUUCUGCAUCAGAGUCUACCUAGGUUUCAAAACCAAUUUUCCAUUUUCCUAGAACCAGCCAAAUAUGGAGUGUGUGCAAAAAACAUGGUAGCUUAAAAGAAGAAGAAGUAGAUAAUUAUCAAAGGGAAGGGGGAGGAAGGAAAGAGAAGGGAAAUAAAGAGAGAUGACACAAGGGAACUGGACCAGAUAAAGACAAAGCAAUGCACUUAACCCACCUGGAGAGCACAUCGGACCAGCAAGGCGCUCUCAGCCAAUCGCCUGGGUCUGCGGCGGGGAGGAGAGUCCGCAUGGGUUCAUUUGGCUGAGGAGUGUGUUUCAUAAACCUUACGGUGCAGCU
rnacentral:lncRNA from 1 species